AGUCACUGACAUUAGAUACCCGUGUAGUCCCAGCCGUAAACUAUGCGCGUUAGGUGUACUGGUGACCACGAGUCACCGGGGUGCCGAAGGGAAACCGUGAAACGUGCCGCCUGGGAAGUACGUCCGCAAGGAUGAAACUUAAAGGAAUUGGCGGGGGAGCACCGCAACGGGAGGAGCGUGCGGUUUAAUUGGAUUCAACACCGUAAAACUCACCAGGGAAGACUGUUACAUGAAAGCCGAGUUGAAGACUCUGCUAGAUUUUCAG
rnacentral:rRNA from 1 species